rnacentral:tRNA from 1 species
GCGAGAGUGGCGGAAUGGUAGACGCACGCGACUCAAAAUCGCGCGCCGCAAGGCAUGGGGGUUCGAGUCCCCCCUCUCGCACCA